AGGGUUGUAGUUAAAUAUAACAUUUGGGUUGCAUUCAAAAAGUAUUGAAUUAGUCAAUCAACCUUA
rnacentral:tRNA from 1 species